rnacentral:rRNA from 1 species
GGGGUAGGGCGUCUGACGGAGCCCGCCGCGUGAGUGAUGAAGGUUUUCGGAUCGUAAAGCUCUGUUGUUAGGGAAGAACAUGUACCGUUCGAAUAGGGAGGCCCCUUGUCGGUUCCUAACCACAAAGCCACGGCUAACUACGUGCCAACAGCCGCGGUAAUACGUAGGUGGCAAGCGUUGUCCGGAAUUAUUGGGCGUAAAGGGCUCGCAUGCCGUUUCUUAACUCUGAUGUGACAGCCCCCGGCUCAACCGGGGAGGGUCAUUGAAAACUGGGGAACUUGAAUGCAAAAGAUGAAAGUGGAAUUCCUCCUGUAGAGCUGAAAUGCGUAAAGAUGUGGAGGAACACCAGUGGCGAACGCGACUCUCUGGUCUGUAACUGACGCUGAGGAGCGAAACCGUGGGGAGCGAACCCGAUUACAUACCCUGGUAGUCCACGCCGUAAACGAUGAGUGCUAAGUGUUAGGGGGUUUCCGCCCCUUAGCGCUGCAGAGAACGCAUUAAGCACUCCGCCCUGGGGAGAAA